CCGCGCACCAGGCCUAUUCUCCUCACACCAGACCACGCGGAAGGACGCCCCCCGUACACGACAGUCAGAGCCUCUCAUUUGUGCUGUGCAGCCUCAUGAGGUCACACGCCGUCUGCUGUGGAGGUGACUUCACGGUGACGUCAAGAGUGACAAGUUUCUUUUUCCAAGCAGAUGGGCAUUAAUCCUGGCUGUCUGUCCACGUCACCUCGCUGCCCCUUUGCAGGCCUUUAUACCGUGUGAGCAAAUUCACACCGUGAACUUUUUGUGGCUGUACUGCAUUUGGGGGCGGGCUGGUUUUCUUCGUGAACGGAGCAAUGCGCGUAUGGUGGUCGUCAGUGAUGGGAAUUCCUACGUGGUGCCGCCUUUGCGCCUUUGGCCAAGGGGAUUGGAGGAGAGAUUGGUCGAGCCGGCCAGAUCUGUCGCCAGAGUGUCUGCUGUGGUCUCGAUCCCCCUCUCCCCAUCCCGUCCCCGCACCUCCCAACCCCCUCCCUUUGGCAUCGUGUCGUGUUGCUAUAACGCGGUCCUCGACCCAACCAACAGCUGCUAUAAACAGUAAUGUAUUUCGCUUCCAAACGCUACUUUAGCGUACAUUUCAUUGUUACCAACAGAGUGUCCAAGAAUGUUUAUAUAUCACUGCGUGAAAAGAACAAGGUUAUCUGAGAAAGUUCAUCGUUUGUUGGCUAAAAUGAUUUGGGUAUGUGUGUCACAUUCAUAAAAAAAAUGUCGAGCUAUGUUUGUUGGGUCGAUUUUAUCAAAACAUUUUAAUUUCAAGAUACAAAAUAUACAAACAACUUGUUGAA